ACCGUGCGAAGCGCCCGGGACAAGACUGACGCUGAGGUGCGAAGCGUGGGAGCAACAGGUUAGAUCCCUGGUAGUCCACGCCGUAACGAUGUCGUUUGAGGCCGGUCCAUAGAUGUGGUUCCGGAGCUAACGCGUUAAUUGUCCGCCUGGGAGUACGGUUGCAAGGUUAAACUCAAAUGAAGGACGGGGGCCGCACAAGCGGUGGAGCAUGUGGUUUAAUUCGAUGCAACGCGCAGAACCUUACCUGCCCUUGACAUGUCUGGACUCUUUAGAGAUACGGUACUGCCUUCGGGAAUCCGAACACACGGGUGCAUGGCUGUCGCCAGCUCGUGUCGUGAGAGGUUGGGGUAAGUCCCGCAACGAGAGCAACCCCUUUCCCUUGUUGCCAGCACGUAAUGGUGGGAACUCAAGGGAGACUGCCGGUGAUAAACCGGAGGAAGGUGGGGAUGACGUCAAGUCAUCAUGGCCCUUACGGCCAGGGCUACACACGUGCUACAAUGGCGUGUACAGAGGGCUGCAAGCUAGCGAUAGUGAGCGAAUCCCCAAAAGCGCGUUGUAGUCCGGAUCGGAGUUUGCAACUGGGAUCCGUGAAGUCGGAAUCGCUAGUAAUCGCGAAUCAGAAUGUCGCGGUGAAUACGUUCCCGGGCCUGGUACCCACCCCCCGUCCCACCAUGGGAGUGGGUUGCACCAGAAGUAGAUAGCUUAACCUUCGGGAGGGCG
rnacentral:rRNA from 1 species